rnacentral:lncRNA from 1 species
GCCUGUAUCAUCUGAGAAUAAUAGCAGCUGUUUUGUCUUUUUUACUCUUCAGAAGAUGAGGUGUCACUUUUUGUUUUUCAGACGGAUGUUCUGACCUCUUCUCCCCUCAGAAAGCAGCUGAACAAUGCAGUGAGGAUGGGGGUUCAGAUGUAGUAGAUCAAGAGCAGGGAGCAAGCCGGGCCAAGAAGCCCUCCUCACCAAAGAAGAAAAAGAAAAGAGAGAGAAAACUGGGGAAAGCUAAGGAGACAACCAGGAUAACAGUGAAGAGACCAUGGUGUGAAGAAGAGAGAAGCGCAGUAAACAAACAUCUAGCAAGGUUUGUGGCAGAGCGCAGAGUUCCUGGAAAAGCAGACUGCAUGAAGUGCCUAGAAGAGGAAAAGGUCCCGAAGGA